rnacentral:rRNA from 1 species
UUUGGUCAUUUAGAGGAAGUAAAAGUCGUAACAAGGUUUCCGUAGGUGAACCUGCGGAAGGAUCAUUAUCAAAACAGCGGACUUCGGUCCUUGCUGCACCCUUGUCUUUUGCGUACCGUAUGUUUCCUCGGCGGGCUUGCCUGCCGGUUGGACAUUAUCAAACCUUUUUGUAGUUGCAAUCAGCGUCAGAAAAUAAUAAUAAUUACAACUUUCAACAACGGAUCUCUUGGUUCUGGCAUCGAUGAAGAACGCAGCGAAAUGCGAAAAGUAGUGUGAAUUGCAGAAUUCAGUGAAUCAUCGAAUCUUUGAACGCACAUUGCGCCCCUUGGUAUUCCAUGGGGCAUGCCUGUUCGAGCGUCAUUUUGUACCCUCAAGCACUGCUUGGUGUUGGGCGCUUGUCCUGCAAAGGACUCGCCUGAAAGCGAUUGGCGGCCAACGUACUGGUGGUAGAGCGCAGCACAAUUUGCGUCUUUCCCCUCUGCGUUAGCGUCCAUAAAGCCUAUUUCAACGUUUGACCUCGGAUCAGGUAGGGAUACCCGCUGAACUUAAGCAUAUCAAUAAGCGGAGGAA